AGAAAGAUAAAAGAGAAUAGAGAGAUACAGAGAGGUAUACAUUGAGGAAUACACUAUAUAACACUCAGCUGAAAAUCAACCUUAAGUUUCUCUGGGAAAAAUCUUCAAUAAAUCAAACUCUAUUCUGUAAAAGUCGAAGAUGAUUAGAAAUAUAGGCAUCAAGGAUUGAAACUUGUGUGUGUUGGCUUUUCAAAGUGCUUCUCCUGAAUUCCUGAUACAUUCCUGGGUUCAUUAUUAUUCUGGCUGCUGUGC
rnacentral:lncRNA from 1 species